UUUCUUCUUCUUUUCUUUUUUCUUUUCUUCUUCCCACAGCCUGCCUUGGGCCGAAAUAGGGGACCUCACAGUCCCCUCGAUUAGUCGAUCGACCGACAAUCGAUCGGCAUGAGACUGACCAACGACAAGAGGGCGAUGACGGACGGCUCGAAGGGACCCAAACUGAUGGCCGAUGGCGACCACCGGUGCCUGAAAAAUCAAAAAAAAAAUCGAAUCCUCUAUUUUGAUAAAAUUCAACGACUUCGGUCAUCGGCAAGCAUGC
rnacentral:lncRNA from 1 species